rnacentral:rRNA from 1 species
AGUGAACGCUGGCGGUAGGCCUAACACAUGCAAGUCGAACGGCAGCACAGGAGAGCUUGCUCUCUGGGUGGCGAGUGGCGGACGGGUGAGGAAUACAUCGGAAUCUACUCUGUCGUGGGGGAUAACGUAGGGAAACUUACGCUAAUACCGCAUACGACCUACGGGUGAAAGCAGGGAACCUUCGGGCCUUGCGCGAUUGAAUGAGCCGAUGUCGGAUUAGCUAGUUGGCGGGGUAAAGGCCCACCAAGGCGACGAUCCGUAGCUGGGCUGAGAGGAUGAUCAGCCACACUGGAACUGAGAUACGGUCCAGACUCCUACGGGAGGCAGCAGUGGGGAAUAUUGGACAAUGGGCGCAAGCCUGAUCCAGCCAUACCGCGUGGGUGAAGAAGGCCUUCGGGUUGUAAAGCCCUUUUGUUGAGAAAGAAAUCCAGCUGGCUAAUACCCGGUUGGGAUGACGGUACCCAAAGAAUAAGCACCGGCUAACUUCGUGCCAGCCGCCGCAGUAA